GUAGCUGCAGAAUCUACAUCCACAAAUAAUUUGUUGAGGAGAGUUCGUUGUUACUCAGCUUUAAUCCUUUUGAUUUCGUAUAAGCUUACACUGAACCCGGCCUGAUUAUUGAUUUGUAAACUUGUUUUAAUCGACGCAUCUUUGUCGGCGAAACAUUUAUAUAACGUUUUGGCAGUAUUUUUUCAGUGGCUGAAUUAAAGAAACAUUUAAAAUACGAUUCUGAGAAGAAGACUAUUUCCUAAAUCCUUAUUGUGAGCUAUAUCUUGCGAAGGCUCUAUCCUACCCGGCCCAAGGUUAUCAGAUUUCAGUGAACAGAAGUAGAAGAUCAUAACGACUUAUUCAAGAAACUACUUCCUAACUUUAGUCAAUCCUGUGAAGACUCUAUACUACCAGCUAUAUUAUCAGAUUUCGGUGAACAGAAGUAGAAGAUCAUAACGACUUAUUCAAGAAACUACUUCCUAACUUUAGUCAAUCCUGUGAAGACUCUAUACUACCAGCUAUAUUAUC